rnacentral:rRNA from 1 species
GGUCUGAACUCAGAUCACGUAAGAAAUUAAAAGUCGAACAGACUUAAUAAUUAAGCUACUGCACCUAAUAUUAUAUCUUAAUCCAACAUCGAGGUCGCAAUCUUUAUUAUCAAUAAGAACUUUCCAAAAAAAUUACGCUGUUAUCCCUAAAGUAACUUAAUUUAAUAAUCCAUAAUAAAGGAUCAAAAACUCAUAAAUCAAUGUAAUUAAAAUUAAAAGUUAUUUAAAUUUUAAUAUCUCCCCAAUAAAAUAUAAAUUUUAAUUAUAAUAUAAUAUAUCUAAAUUAUUAAAACUAAAUUCUAUAUAAAGAUUUAUAGGGUCUUCUCGUCUUUCAAAUCAAUUUUAGCUUUUUAACUAAAAAAUAAAAUUCUAUUAUAAAUUUAAUUGAAACAGUUAAUAUUUUAUCCAACCAUUCAUUCCAGCCUUCAAUUAAAAGACUAAUUAUUAUGCUACCUUUGCACAGUUAAUAUACUGCGGCCAUUCAAAAAUUCAGUGGGCAGGCUAGACUUUAAACUUAUUUCUAAAAGACAUGUUUUUGUAAA